AUUGAACGCUGGCGGCAUGCCUUACACAUGCAAGUCGAACGGCAGCACGGGAGCAAUCCUGGUGGCGAGUGGCGAACGGGUGAGUAAUAUAUCGGAACGUGCCCAGUCGUGGGGGAUAACGCAGCGAAAGCUGUGCUAAUACCGCAUACGAUCUAUGGAUGAAAGCGGGGGAUCGCAAGACCUCGCGCGAUUGGAGCGGCCGAUAUCAGGUUAGCUAGUUGGUGGGGUAAAAGCCCACCAAGGCGACGAUCUGUAGCUGGUCUGAGAGGACGACCAGCCACACUGGAACUGAGACACGGUCCAGACUCCUACGGGAGGCAGCAGUGGGGAAUUUUGGACAAUGGGCGCAAGCCUGAUCCAGCAAUGCCGCGUGCAGGAUGAAGGCCUUCGGGUUGUAAACUGCUCUUGUACGGAACGAAACGGCGAGCUCUAAUACAGUUUGCUAAUGACGGUACCGUAAGAAUAAGCACCGGCUAACUACGUGCCAGCCGCCGCCGUAA
rnacentral:rRNA from 1 species